GAUGAACGCUAGCUACAGGCUUAACACAUGCAAGUCGAGGGGCAGCAUGGUCUUAGCUUGCUAAGGCCGAUGGCGACCGGCGCACGGGUGAGUAACACGUAUCCAACCUGCCGUCUACUCUUGGACAGCCUUCUGAAAGGAAGAUUAAUACAAGAUGGCAUCAUGAGUCCGCAUGUUCACAUGAUUAAAGGUAUUCCGGUAGACGAUGGGGAUGCGUUCCAUUAGAUAGUAGGCGGGGUAACGGCCCACCUAGUCUUCGAUGGAUAGGGGUUCUGAGAGGAAGGUCCCCCACAUUGGAACUGAGACACGGUCCAAACUCCUACGGGAGGCAGCAGUGAGGAAUAUUGGUCAAUGGGCGAGAGCCUGAACCAGCCAAGUAGCGUGAAGGAUGACUGCCCUAUGGGUUGUAAACUUCUUUUAUAAAGGAAUAAAGUCGGGUAUGGAUACCCGUUUGCAUGUACUUUAUGAAUAAGGAUCGGCUAACUCCGUGCCAGCAGCCGCGGUAAUACGGAGGAUCCGAGCGUUAUCCGGAUUUAUUGGGUUUAAAGGGAGCGUAGAUGGAUGUUUAAGUCAGUUGUGAAAGUUUGCGGCUCAACCGUAAAAUUGCAGUUGAUACUGGAUAUCUUGAGUGCAGUUGAGGCAGGCGGAAUUCGUGGUGUAGCGGUGAAAUGCUUAGAUAUCACGAAGAACUCCGAUUGCGAAGGCAGCCUGCUAAGCUGC
rnacentral:rRNA from 1 species